CCGUCCCCUUCGCCGUGGGAUGCGGGGAUUUGGGGCGGCUGAAGGAGUCGGGGCCCCCACCACCGCAGCGCUGCUGCCCUCACAGGGGCCGGGCCCCCCCGAGCCUCCAGUGCUUGUUGAGGUUUCAGUCUCCAUUCUGCUGAUCCGAAAGAAAGAAGGCGGCUUUUGGAGGACUUGAUCAUCGCGAGUCGAGCUGCUGCUGAACCUCCCCUUCCAACAUCCAGCAGGUUUGUUCUGCAGGCCCCGAUGAUGGCACAGGCAUGAAAGAGCCCAGAGCUCGUCGCUGGGGAGAGGCUGCGUAUGGCGUUGUGAAGGGAGAGAUGGAGGAGGGGUUUGAGCAGCGCUGUGCAGGAAUGAACGGCUGAAAACGCCGUCCUUUUGCUGAACUUUGCUCAUUGUACACCCGCCAUCACAGCAAAAAACGCUCAGUGCUGCCCUGGGAAACUCCGCAAUCUCCACAGCGUUGCUCUCCAAGUUAGCACGCUCAUGGCCAGGCUGUGUUCCCUGCAGCUCUUUGCACGUGCUUUGCAGACAGUCUGUUUGUGGGCAGUGCAAAGGACUGCUGCCUCCGUUGCAUCACUGGACGGCAGCAUUCACUGACGGAGCUGUGGCAGUUCUGAGCGAGCGCCGCGAGACCAAUAACGAGGAGGUGGUGCAGCAGCUCUCCGAGUGCCGCUGGACAAAUCAGGCCGUGCGCUCUCUGUGAAUCUAUAAAUUUGACUGCUGUUUAUUGACUACGUUUGAAGGUGGAGUGCUGAGAUGGGCGGCACUCAGCGCUGCCCUGUAACGCCGCGCACUGCAGAAGCUGCUGCCUGCUGACGCUCCUCCUCUCAGUCCUUCAGCUGCAGCUUCUGCAUCAUCUCCACAAGGCUGUCAACUGCGGAGGCCUGGGAAGAAACGGAGCGAGGGUAGAAACAGGACACCACUUCCCUCGGGAUUUUACAGUCUCCUCCUUUCAUGUGUGACAGACGGAGGCCCUGAGAACAACAAGAGCCGUGUCUGUGUUCACCAAGGACUCACCUCUGCACGUGCAGCGGCAGCUCUGAGGGCAGCCUUCUUCAGCUCCACUCUCCUCUCUUUUCGUUGUCGUCUUCUUUCUGUAAGGCAAGAAAAAUAGAUGAAUGCAUUUUGUCUACAGUGAAAUGGCAGAAACAUGGGUGCCGUACAAGCAGAAGGCAGCAAAAAGACGGAGGAAAUGGGACUAGGAAGCCUCCCAGUGAAUGACAUUUCCAGGAGGCGUGCAGAAGACCACCCUGGAGUUAACGGGAAGAGACAGGGUUACACAUUCGGGCACCUCACUGCCUUUGGACUUUGUAGCCUUCCACUCUUUUCCCCUCCAUGGAGAAGGAAAAAGCAAAGCCAACCCUAAGCAAACUCAGUGUGCUCGCACAGGGAAGCGCCUCAGCACGGCGGGUACCACAGCACCUUCUCACCUCUUUGCUUGGAGCUCCGAGCAGCAGCAGGCCCAGGGUGUGCUGCUGGAGCCGGCAUGCCGUCUCCACUCGGCCCCCUCACUCUCUUAUUGGAAGGCAGCUGCACUGCUGUUGGUUUCCCUUCCUCCAAGGCCUUGCGUUUACAUCCAGCCUGGGUGUUGGAGACAGAGCGGGGGCACACGGCAGGGGAAGGUCUUCCCCCUGUGCUGGGACCUGCUCUUCUAGGGAGACCUCCAGCCUGCAGAGGAGCUUGAGCUGCUGCCUGUUGAGAAGCUCUCUCAGUAUGGACCUGCUGGACCACUUUGACAUAGAUUUUGUCAUUUGGCUCAGCACCAAUCUCUGUUAAGAAAGCAAAAACAAGGAGAUUUAAUGAGAGCCCAACACUACUUUCAGUCAGCAAAACGGGUCACAAUCCUGGGACAUCUCAUCUCGAGUGCUCACGGUCAUGGAUCAUAGGAUCUCGGCUGAACUGUGGGGUUCACAUUUCUAAUCAGCACAGGAAUGCUAACUGUACAUGCCAGGGAUUAAGACCAGAACCAACACACAACGGCCACAGUCCCAGGAAAGGACGGACAGAAAGUUUCACUAGAGAGACAGUGCACCAAGCCCAGGUGCCUGCUGUGUGUCUGUACCUCUCUUGGGUGCUGUGCCACACUGGGCGCUUCUGCCUUGCCUUUCUGCAAGGCUGCGCUUUGCUGGAAGGCCGCUCGCAUCAGCUUCUGGCAGAAAGGAGACAAGAAAGACAUGAAGAGCAUCUCUGUGGUGGAAGAUUUGAGCACAGCCAACCACAAUCUUCUGGUCAUCAAGAGCAGUUUCUUCAGCUUGCCUUUCUGCUGCUACAACAUUAUGCCGCUUCUGCAGUCAGCACAGCUCGCAAGAGCUUCUUACCUGCGGAGGCUUUGCGUUUCCAGCCUUGCCCAGCACCACUCCAUGGACGCGCAGGCUCCAUCCCUACAACAACAGAUGGUGUGUUGAUUUCACAGACACCAGCAGGCAGCAGAAGUACUGCCCAGUAUGCCCACGUCCCCCCAGAAAACAGAAAGAUGCUACUUGGACAGCCCAAACACAAACUGAUUGAGAGUUCACUUCUCACUGCUCCUUCCUGCACUCCAAAUGGAUGCUCACUUGACAUCCCCUGCAGCGCUGCACCCGCCCAGAAGGAAUACUCAAAAAUCAUUCCUCCACACUUCACGACAGAGGGCUGAAGAAACUCACUUCUGUAUGGCAUGAAGGACCGUCCGUCCCUGUUGCGUCCCUCUGUGCGCUGGAAGGCGCGGUCGGAUCUCUGGCAGCCUGCUGGCUGCUGCUCCCAACCGCGGGGAACCGCGCCGCGCCGCUUCUGAAGAGAGAAAGGAAGAAACGGUGGUGGGAACGGGCAGCCAAGGCUUGCAGAGAGGUUCCAGAUCGUGCCAGAAAGGGGAUAUCAGAGUGCUGAGACACUGAUUAUCACUAAGGGAAAAGACGGCCUGAGCCACGUCCGCGAUGUUAGCCCAGGCUGUCAGCAGUGAGCGCUGAAUGCAACCGGUUACUGAGGUCACCAAGGACCAGCAGGGCUCCCCCUGCUCCGUCCCUUCCCCUUGAGAGCAAGAGAAAGGAAGAACCAAGCAGAAGAAGCCCAGCCAUACCUUGCCACUCAGACGGCAGCAAUUGGAACCAUGAUCAUCUCUUUGCUGAGACAUGGCAGCUGAAGGCUCAGAGGAAGCUGAAGUUCCCAGGCCUCUGUGCACAGGAACUUCCCCGGCCCUUGCAAAGAGCUGGCUUCCCUCUUCCUGCGACUGCCUCGAUCCCAAAAUCUCCCUUGGGACAGGAACCCUGCAGAGAGUACCGACGAGUGCACACGCGGUGCUUCUGACGGGCUCUCACAGGGUGAUCUGUUCCACGGAAGGCCCAGAGCUCAGCCUCGGUGUGCAGCACGCUCACCAGAGCACCAGCUCUGCUCACCAGCUGUGGCGGAAACGCUGCCACCCCAGCAGUGAUUGUGACCUCAGCGAGUGCCCGCAUCGCUUCCGUGCUUUCAUCAUAAGCGAAGGAAAUGGACGACUGCCUGAUCCACAUCUUAGGAAAUCACCACCAGGGUCACCCAGUGGGGUUAUUUGAAUAAUGGAGAAGUGAAGAUGACUCUUGUGCAGCCCAAUAAAAACCAGUCAAG
ensembl:lncRNA